rnacentral:lncRNA from 1 species
CUGGCUUGUUUACUGAAGCAUCUCUAGAGCCGCAACAAUGGCUGAAACACCAUGGAUAGUCAGCAAAUUUUGCUGAGCAGAUGAAAGACUACACGACAAGUCAUGCAGGCUCCUUCAGCCCUUCCUGGAGCACAGAGAGUUGGAUGCCUUGGCAGUGAGAUUUAGUCCCUGCUGAUUGCAGCCCGGCACCUGGGGGAGAACCGGGCCUCAGAAACUGAGCCUGAGAUCCAGGUGGACAGACAGGAGCUGGGUCUAUGCUGACCAGGGUAGAUGGAGAUGCUGGCUGACCAGAGGAGCUUCUGGAGAAAGCUGACAUGCAGGGCUUGGCAUCGUGGAACAGGAUGGGCAGCUUUGGGAACCAAGGGAAAAGUGACAGUCCAGUCUCUCCACCCCGGUUAUUUGUCUGCAGUCCAGCUAGGCCAUUCUUCCAUCCACUGGAUGAAGGUCCUACAGAAAUCAAGGUCCGGGGCUGCCACCAAGCCUUCUGGCUUCUCCAAGGGGCAGCUGGGGCUCAUGGCUUGCUGUCCACAGCCCCUGCCUGCCUCCCACCAAUCCUCCAUUCUGCUGCCAAAACCACCCAGCCAACCCUCAAAUGGAACUGUGUCACAAACCUGGAUUACGGACCCUGCUGGGCUCUCCUCCACAGACUGGAGGCCCACAGAUGGGUUUUUGCUUGUCCUGCAUUGAGAUUUUUAAAAAUCUGGAAGUUGCCCAGCUUCCCUUGAAACACCAGUUGGCUGGUGCUAGUGCAAGGCCUCCUUAGGCAGGUACUUAGGGAACAGUCCUCACCAUUCCCUGUUGUCUCACAUCCAGCCUCCUUCCCUCAUGAAAUGCAAUGUCUGGUGCCUGCAUACUUUUGAGUUUCUCCCGUCUAGUCUACAGGCAAAGGCUAUUGUAGCAUGGCUGGGAGGGAAGGAACAAGGAAAGAAGUGG